UCUAAUAAUGAGAGGGAGAGAAAAAUUAAAUUCCACAAAUCCUUGUUUUCCUUAUUAUCAGUUCAGAUUAGUAAGCCGAGUCUUAACUUUAAAAUCAACAAAAGAAAAAUGAAGAUCUUCUUUCUAUUACUUUUAUGCGUCUGUGCAUCGUAUGCGGCUAUACGUGGAAAAGCGUGCGGUGCAGAUUUCUGCGGUCCUCAGUUCGAUGUAUGUUGCCAAACCGUCUCCGUGGACACAUCAAGAAAAUACUAUGGUGUAACAGGAUUUUACUGUUCAUCGGGAUUAAGCACCGAAUGGCUCGAAAAGGUGCGGCCAGGAAUGAGGUACAGGAACCUAAGGUUGUGCAACCAGUUGGAUUGGUAAACAGAACUUGUUCACGUGAUUGGUCACCCAGUCAAGAGUUAAUUAUUAUUUCAAUCAAGUUCGAACAUUAGAUAAAAUUUAACAAGUUUAUUAUAUCUGUGAUCCACACUUGACAAAUAUUAACUUUUGACUUUGGAUUGGUGACGAAGAAUUUAAAAAGAUGCAAAGACAAAUAAAACAAUCAUUUUAAAAA